UGGUUUUAGCUAAUUAAAGUGUCUGAGUUGCAAUUAGAUGAUGUGGGCGCAGCUUGCAGGUCUUC
rnacentral:tRNA from 1 species